GUGCACCAGGCGCGAAACCUCCGCAAUGCGGGAAACCGUGACGGGGUCACCCCGAGUGCCACCCGAUGAGGGUGGCUUUUCCCCGGUCUAAAAGCCGGGGGCAAUAAGCGGGGGCAAGUCUGGUGUCAGCCGCCGCGGUAAUACCAGCCCCGCGAGUGGUCGGGACGUUUAUUGGGCCUAAAGCGUCCGUAGCCGGCUCGGUAAGUCCCUCCUUAAGUCCACGGGCUCAACCCGUGGGCUGGGAGGGAUACUGCCGGGCUAGGGGGCGGGAGAGGCCGAGGGUACUCCCGGGGUAGGGGCGAAAUCCGUUAAUCCCGGGAGGACCACCAGUGGCGAAGGCGCUCGGCUGGAACGCGCCCGACGGUGAGGGACGAAAGCUGGGGGAGCAAAGGGGAUUAGAUACCCCCGUAGU
rnacentral:rRNA from 1 species